rnacentral:rRNA from 1 species
CACGCAGGCGGUCGUGUAAGUUUGGGGUUACAGCUCCCGGCUCAACUGGGAGAGCGCCUUGAAGACUGCAGGACUUGAGGGCCAGAGAGGGACACAGAAUUCCGGGUGUAGUGGUGAAAUGCGUAGAUAUCCGGAGGAAUACCAAAGGCGAAGGCAGUGUCCUGGCUGGUGACUGACGCUGAGGUGCGAAAGCUAGGGGAGCGAACGGGAUUAGAUACCCCGGUAGUCCUAGCCGUAAACGAUGACCACUAGGUGUGGGAGGUAUCGACCCCUUCCGUGCCGCAGCUAACGUGAUAAGUGGUUCGCCUGGGGAGUACGGUCGCAAGAUUAAA